GUGUCAGCCGCCGCGGUAAUACAGAGGGUGCGAGCGUUGUCCGGAAUCACUGGGCGUAAAGGGCGCGUAGGCGGCUUGGUAAGCGUGCGGUGAAAGCUCGGGGCUCAACCCCGAGUCUGCCGUGCGAACUGCCGAGCUGGAGCACGGUAGAGGCACAUGGAAUUCCGGGUGUAGCGGUGGAAUGCGUAGAGAUCCGGAAGAACACCGGUGGCGAAGGCGGUGUGCUGGGCCGUAGCUGACGCUGAUGCGCGACAGCGUGGGGAGCAAACAGGAUUAGAUACCCUAGUAGUCC
rnacentral:rRNA from 1 species